rnacentral:rRNA from 1 species
CCUACGGGAGGCAGCAGUGGGGAAUAUUGCACAAUGGGCGAAAGCCUGAUGCAGCGACGCCGCGUGAGGGAUGACGGCCUUCGGGUUGUAAACCUCUUUCAGCAGGGAAGAAGCGAAAGUGACGGUACCUGCAGAAGAAGCGCCGGCUAACUACGUGCCAGCAGCCGCGGUAAUACGUAGGGCGCAAGCGUUGUCCGGAAUUAUUGGGCGUAAAGAGCUCGUAGGCGGCUUGUCACGUCGGUUGUGAAAGCCCGGGGCUUAACCCCGGGUCUGCAGUCGAUACGGGCAGGCUAGAGUGUGGUAGGGGAGAUCGGAAUUCCUGGUGUAGCGGUGAAAUGCGCAGAUAUCAGGAGGAACACCGGUGGCGAAGGCGGAUCUCUGGGCCAUUACUGACGCUGAGGAGCGAAAGCGUGGGGAGCGAACAGGAUUAGAUACCCUGGUAGUCCACGCCGUAAACGGUGGGAACUAGGUGUUGGCGACAUUCCACGUCGUCGGUGCCGCAGCUAACGCAUUAAGUUCCCGCCUGGGGAGUACGGCCGCAAGGCUAAAACUCAAAGGAAUUGACGGCUUGAGAGNGCGAGNGACACGAGGAGGAGG